AUCGCUGCGUUUCAACUGGAAUAUCAUCAUCGAAGAUGUCACUGCAGAUUCGUCAAUCAUAGGAAUAAACAAUGAAAUAUAUUAAUUGGAUGUAAGAAUACCUGGCACAUCUUGCACAAAUUGUGACGGAAACUUCUUUAUUUCCCAUCCGUUUUAACUAAGAAGAAAAUCGACCCCUGGAGGAAUGAUAGAAGAAUGUUAGUUUUGAAGACAACAAUGAUAUUAUAA